GCGGGUGUAAUUCAGNGGUAGAAUGUCAGCUUCCCAAGCUGAACGUCGCCGGUUCAAAUCCGGUCACCCGCU
rnacentral:tRNA from 1 species